rnacentral:lncRNA from 1 species
GAACGAGAGUCGCAGGCAGCUGGAGGAGAGGAGGAAGCAGCAGGAGGAGGACAGGAAACACAAAGACAGCAACAAGAUCAGUGAGUACAACUGCCUGACCUCUGACCCCUGCAGGUACGCUGUCAUGUGACUGAAAGAAAGAUAUUUAAAACCUGUUCUAAGUAAUAUGUACAAGUCCUCUGAGGCUGUCAGCCAAUCAGAGCCCGCUGAACACAAAACAUCCUGACGACUAAAUGUUUCUGACAUAAAAAUAAAAAUGUCCUCCAGCCAGGAAGGACGUGUCCAGGAAGGAUGUGUCCAGCCAGGACGAAGGCUGUAUCAUCGACAAGCUGCUGACUGAGAUCAAGAAGGGAAACCACCUGAAGAGGACCAGAGCCCCCCGGGGCAGCAUAGUCCACGAGCAUCCUGCAGGAUCAGAGCUCAUACUGGCGUCCUUGGUCGUUUCCAGCCAAUCAGGGAAGCCUGCAGAACCACUAGAGGCAGUUCAGAUCCCUUCAGAUCCACCGGCUGAAACAAGACCAGAACCAGGCUCAGCUGAACCCUCCUCUUCUACUGCUGCUGCAGACACUGAGCGCGUCCAGAUCCGGACCAGACUCGAGGACUCCAAGGCGGACUCUGUGGACCUAGAGACCAGAGACAGAGGUUCUGCAGGAGAGGAGGAGGUCCAGCUCAGACCAGAGGAGUCCGCAGAACACAAAGAGUCUGAGUUUGAAGAAGCGAGAACAACCGAACACAACGAGGAUUCAGAUUCUGAUCCAGACGAACCAGCGGAGAAGUCCAGGACCAGUCCAGCAGGAGCAGAUGUCAAACAUAAAGCUCACAGAAGAUGUGUGUCGCACUGAGGUGAGUUCAUUACUGAUGGAGAGCCUGAGAGGCUGAACUCGGGGCACAACUACCUGUUGAUUUCUUCUUCUGUGGUUGAUCUGCAGGUGAACUGAGGAGGACUCGUCUGAUUGGCUGAUGAUGGGGACAGUUUACCUGAGCAAGGUGUGACGACGUUCAGGACGUUUUGUUUGAGUUGAUUUGUUGAUGAUUAUUAUGAUUAUAGUUACUAAAUGAAAUGUGUUGUACCUGUAGCAGUUAUUAAUGAUUAAUGGUUUUAGUCUUUGUGUCUAACGUUGCUCAGUUGUGAUGAUUCAAUUAAUCAGUUUAUUCAGAAAAUAAUUUGCGAAUCAAUA